rnacentral:rRNA from 1 species
UACGUAGGGGGCAAGCGUUAUCCGGAUUUAUUGGGCGUAAAGAGCUCGUAGGCGGCCGUUCGCGUCGGAUGUGAAAGCUCAGGGCUCAACUCUGAGACGCCAUUCGAUACGGGACGGCUAGAGGUAGGUAGGGGAAAGCGGAAUUCCUGGUGUAGCGGUGAAAUGCGCAGAUAUCAGGAGGAACACCGGUGGCGAAGGCGGCUUUCUGGGCCUUACCUGACGCUGAGACGCGAAAGCGUGGGGAGCGAACCGG